UACAGAGGUCCCAAGCGUUGUUCGGAUUCACUGGGCGUAAAGGGUGCGUAGGCGGCCGGGUAAGUCUGCUGUGAAAUCCCGCAGCUCAACUGCGGAACUGCAUUGGAUACUAUCCGGCUAGAGGAAUGGAGGGGAGACUGGAAUUCUCGGUGUAGCAGUGAAAUGCGUAGAUAUCGGGAGGAACACCAGUGGCGAAGGCGACUACCUGGCCCACUCUUGACGCUGAGGCGCGAAAGCUAGGGGAGCGAACGGG
rnacentral:rRNA from 1 species